rfam:Nasonia vitripennis chromosome 1, whole genome shotgun sequence.
GCAUCGGCUCUUUUCAGAGCCCCAAUAAUAUUUAAUGCAGGAACAU